GUGGGGAAUCUUGCGCAAUGGGCGAAAGCCUGACGCAGCCAUGCCGCGUGAAUGAUGAAGGUCUUAGGAUUGUAAAAUUCUUUCACCGGGGACGAUAAUGACGGUACCCGGAGAAGAAGCCCCGGCUAACUUCGUGCCAGCAGCCGCGGUAAUACGAAGGGGGCUAGCGUUGCUCGGAAUUACUGGGCGUAAAGGGCGCGUAGGCGGACAGUUUAGUCAGAGGUGAAAGCCCAGGGCUCAACCUUGGAAUUGCCUUUGAUACUGGCUGUCUUGAGUACGGGGGAGGUGAGUGGAACUCCGAGUGUAGAGGUGAAAUUCGUAGAUAUUCGGAAGAACACCAGUGGCGAAGGCGACUCACUGGCCCGUUACUGACGCUGAGGCGCGAAAGCGUGGGGAGCAAACAGGAUUAGAUACCCCGGUAGUCC
rnacentral:rRNA from 1 species